ensembl:lncRNA
GUCAAUAUCUUGCAAUAACCUGUGAUGGAAAAUAAUUUCAAAAAUAGUAUAUGUAUAUUUAUAUAAUUGAAUCACCUUGCUGUGCACCUGAAACAUUGUAAGUCAACUAUACUUCAAUAAAAUAUAUAUAUUAAAAGGCUGAGUGCCAAAGAAUUGAUACCUUUGAACUGUGGUGCUAGAGAAGACUCUUGAGAGUCCCUUGGACAACAAGGAGAUCAAAUCAAUUAAUCCUAAAGGAAAUCAACCCUUAAUAUUCAUUGGAAGGACUGGUGCUGAAGCUGAAGCUCCAAUACUUUGGCCACCUGAUGCGAAGAGCUGAGUCAUUGGAAAAGACCCUGAUGGUGGGAAGGAUUGAAGGCAGGAGGAGAAGGGGAGGACAGGAUGAGAUGGUUGGAUGGCAUCACCAAGUCAAUGGACAUGGGUUUGAGCAAACUGGGAGAUGAUGAAGAACAGGGAAGCCUGGUGUGCUGCAGUCCAUGGGGUUGCAGAGUCAUAUACGACUGAGCGACUGAGCAACUGAACAACUCCUCAGUUUAAAUCUCUCCACUGCCUCCUCAUCUUCUCUAGGAUAAAGCUGAAAGUCUUUAUAACAUGGAUUAUAAGGCCUUCUGUUAUCUGACCCAGCUGUCCUCUCUAGCUUCAGUUCCUGGCCUUAAAUUCUAUGCUCUUGCAACAAUGAACUACUUGUUCCCAAAUACCCACUGUGCUGUUUCACACCUCUGUGCUAUUGCUCAUGCUGUCUCCUCUCCAUACCCGCCUUUUCCUUUAAAAAUCAGCCAGGCCUUACUUCUUCCAGGAAGUUAACUGCCCUCCUCCUGGGCAGUUUCUAAUUCCUGCCCUAUUCCACCUGGUUUAGGUAUUGUCUUCUGUGCUACCACAAUACCCCUCAUUCCAUCAAUAAAUGUUUAUUGAGUGCUGAUUAAAUUGAACAAGAUAGCCUCUCCCUUCAUGGAGGUAACAUUUUCUUGCCUUGUGGUAAAGUUCAUAUCAGUCACUGCACUUUACACUGAAUUAAGUUGAAUUAUACUCACCUGUUUGACUUUUCUGCUGGAUCGUGAGAUAUAAAAGGAUAAAAAUCAUGGCCAAUUUAACUUUUUAGAACAUGGCCAGGAAACUGGCACAUGAUAGACACUCAAUAUUUGUUGACUGAUUUAGACUCAGGAGGGUCAUUCCAGAAGACGGGUAGGAGGGAAAGAGGAGUAGGGUUAGGUCUGAUCUCAGUGGGGACAGGGAAAGAGAGACUGGAGAGAGAGAUAAAGGGAUAAAUGUGACUACAGUGUGGAAAGCAUGUUAGUAGAGGCUAUGGGAGCCCAGAGAUGUGUUUUUAUGCAGUGUAUUGAAGCAGUUGGUGACCCAUGAGGCUGUUCACUCUGUAUGGUUAGCAAUCUUUUAUGGAAAGGGGAAAGCCUGCUGCUCUACUAAAAGGGAGAGAUUAUAUGCUGACGUUCAGUGUAUGCUUUCAUUGAGUCCUCCUUCAUACUAGCCCUGCAAACUGUGUUAGUACUAUUUUACUAAUGAGAAAGCAGAGACUCAGAGGUGAAAUUAUUUAUCCAAGGCCACACAGUAAGUGGCAGAGCUGGGACUUGAGCCCAGGUCUGAUUCUAAACAGCA